AAACUUGUUUGGGGAAGAUCUAGUGGCGAACGGGUGCAUAACACGUGAGAAACCUGCCUCAGUCUCUGGGAUAACAGUUGGAAACGACUGCUAAUACCGGAUGCCGUCACACCAUCACAUGUUGGAGUGACGAAAGAUUUAUCGGAUUGAGAGGGUCUCGCGGCCUAUCAGCUAGUUGGAGAGGUAACGGCUCACCAAGGCAUCGACGGGUAGCUGGUCUGAGAGGAUGAUCAGCCACACUGGGACUGAGACACGGCCCAGACUCCUACGGGAGGCAGCAGUGGGGAAUCUUGCACAAUGGGCGAAAGCCUGAUGCAGCAACGCCGCGUGCGGGAAGAAGGCCCUAGGGUUGUAAACCGCUUUCAGUAGGGAAGAAAAUGACGGUACCUACAGAAGAAGGUGCGGCCAACUACGUGCCAGCAGCCGCGGUGACACGUAGGCACCAAGCGUUAUCCGGAUUUAUUGGGCGUAAAGAGCUCGUAGGCGGUUCGGUAAGUCGGGUGUGAAAACUCUGGGCUCAACCCAGAGAGGCCACCCGAUACUGCUGUGACUAGAGUGCGGUAGGG
rnacentral:rRNA from 1 species